ensembl:snRNA U6 U6 spliceosomal RNA
GUUCUCAUUUUGGAAGCACAUAAACUAAAACUGGAUCAAUACAGAGCUUAGAAUGAUUCCUGCUCUAUGGUGACAUACAGAGAAGAAUUUUGUAUUUUU